ensembl:snRNA U6 U6 spliceosomal RNA
GUGCUCGGCUUGGCCAGCACAUAUACUAAAAUUGGAACGAUACAGAGAAGAUUAGCAUGGCCCCUGCACAAGAUGACAUGCAAAGUAGUGAAGCGUUCCAUAUUUAA